GACGAACGCUGGCGGCGUGCUUAACACAUGCAAGUCGAACGGAAAGGCCCCUUUUGGGGUGCGCGCGUGGCGAACGGGCGCGUAACACGCGCGUAACCUGCCCUUCACUUCCUGUUAACUACAUUCAACUAGGGCUAAUUACUACCAGGAAUCCUUGCUUCCUGCUGGGUGUUGGAUAGCUUCUGGGGGUUUGGAUGGACUCGCGGCGUAUCUGCUUGUUGGUGGGGUAGUUGCUUACCUACGCUUUCACGGGUAGCCGGCCUGAGAGGGCGACCGGCCACAGUGGGACUGAGGUACGGCCCAGACUCCGACGGGAGGCAGGAGUGGGGAAAAUUGCACCAUGGGCGGAAGGCGGAUGCAGGAACGCCGCGGGCGGGAUGACGGCCUUUGGGUUGGAAACCGGUUUCAGCAGGGGCGAAGCUUGUGGUGACGGUACCUGCAGAAGAAGCACCGGCUAACUACGUG
rnacentral:rRNA from 1 species